UACGGAGGGAGCUAGCGUUGUUCGGAAUUACUGGGCGUAAAGCGCGCGUAGGCGGCUUUGUAAGUUAGAGGUGAAAGCCCGGAGCUCAACUCCGGAACUGCCUUUAAAACUGCAUCGCUUGAAUCCAGGAGAGGUGAGUGGAAUUCCGAGUGUAGCGGUGAAAUGCGUAGAUAUUGGGAAGAACACCGGAGGCGAAGGCGGGUUGCUGGGCCGACACUGACGCUGAUGCGCGAAAGCCAGGGGAGCGAACGGG
rnacentral:rRNA from 1 species